rnacentral:rRNA from 1 species
GACGAACGCUGGCGGCGUGCCUAAUACAUGCAAGUUGAGCGCUGAAGGUUGGUACUUGUACCGACUGGAUGAGCAGCGAACGGGUGAGUAACGCGUGGGGAAUCUGCCUUUGAGCGGGGGACAACAUUUGGAAACGAAUGCUAAUACCGCAUAAAAACUUUAAACACAAGUUUUAAGUUUGAAAGAUGCAAUUGCAUCACUCAAAGAUGAUCCCGCGUUGUAUUAGCUAGUUGGUGAGGUAAAGGCUCACCAAGGCGAUGAUACAUAGCCGACCUGAGAGGGUGAUCGGCCACAUUGGGACUGAGACACGGCCCAAACUCCUACGGGAGGCAGCAGUAGGGACUCUUCGGCAAUGGACGAAAGUCUGACCGAGCAACGCCGCGUGAGUGAAGAAGGGUUUCGGAUCGUAAAACUCUGUUGGUAGAGAAGAACGUUGGUGAGAGUGGAAAGCUCAUCAAGUGACGGUAACUACCCAGAAAGGGACGGCUAACUACGUG